rnacentral:rRNA from 1 species
GAGUGAAGCGGCAACAGCUCAAAUUUGAAAUCUGGCGCCCGCCCGAGUUGUAAUUUGCAGAGGAUGCUUCUAGGCAGCAGCCGGUCUAAGUCCCUUGGAACAGGACGUCACAGAGGGUGAGAAUCCCGUGCGGACCGGCAGGCACCUUCCACGUAGCUCCUUCAACGAGUCGAGUUGUUUGGGAAUGCAGCUCUAAACGGGAGGUAAAUUUCUUCUAAAGCUAAAUACUGGCCAGAGACCGAUAGCGCACAAGUAGAGUGAUCGAAAGAUGAAAAGCACUUUGGAAAGAGAGUCAAACAGCACGUGAAAUUGUUGAAAGGGAAGCGCUCGCAACCAGACUUGCCGGCGGCGUUCCCCUGGUCUUCUGACUGGGCCACUCGCCGCCGGUAGGCCAGCGUCGUCCUAGGCCGUUGGAGAAAGACGUCGGGAAUGUGGCUCCCCUCGGGGAGCGUUAUAGCCUGACGUGCAACACAGCGUGCCUGGGGCGAGGUCUGCGCUUCGGCAAGGAUGCUGGCGUAAUGGUUGCAAGCGGCCCGUCUUGAAACACGGACCAAGGAGUCUACCAUCUAUGCGAGUGUUUGGGUGUGAAGCCCCUACGCAGAAUGAAAGUGAACGGAGGU